rnacentral:lncRNA from 1 species
GUGGUUUAAUGAAUCAGAUUAGCUUUUUGGUCUGUUCUUUACUUUGUCAAGCAUCAUUGUUACCUAUACAGAACUUAAUUUUUAGAAAACGGUAAUGUAGCAAUAUCAGAGAGAAGUUGAGUAAUUAUUUAAGGCACCACCGAAGCAGAUAGAGCGUCAAGGUACCAGCAAUGUACCAAGUGCCGGGAUUUAACUUAAUAGGUUGAGAACAGAGACCACUAAUUGAUAUUUUGGCUUAAUUUAAAGCACUAUCGUCCGAAUGAAUAUGGGAUUGUAGGCUGAUAUGAUCAGGGCAUUAUCUCGCAAUAUCAGCUUCCCUUGUAGAUGAACUUAGGGCAUAGAGAGCUAGCUCAUUGUCAGCUUGUAUGUUUAUUUCAUAUGGGGUUUUCUUAUGCAAGGGAUCUGUCAUAUAGUAAGUAGGUAAUAUUGGUCAAAAAAGUGAGGAGAAAUAAGAACGGACGAUGAGUCCAUGUAUAUAAAUGAAUUUCUCCAGACUUUGUUGUCGGAGUAUCGGACAGGCACAAUCUACUUUACCAGUCACUUCUUUUACUAUUUUUAAUCAUCACUCGUUUUCAUUUUUUGCUUUUUGCCAUUUUAUGUCAAGACCUGAUUUCACCAUCUAUGCAUGGUGUUGUAUCACCACCAACUUCGAGAUUUUCGUUAAUGGCUCAAAGUUUCCAACAAGAAGUUUGAGGUGGAAAGAUUUAAAGGAUGAGCAAUAAAAAUUCAGUUUAUGCCAGUUAAUUCUGAUUAACUUAUACUGUAGCAAGUGUUUAGAAAACAUUUAUCAUGGGGUACAAGGUGGUAUUUAUGAGCUACAAGGACUGGGGAAGACCGAAAUGUAUGAGUGACGAGCAUGCUUCUUUUGUCUGAUGGUGAUAUCGUCCUCUCCAUUAGGAUCAUCGCCCAAAUAGAUGAAGGAUACUUUGUUGAAACCAAUUUCAGUCCACAAAUAUGCUCAGAGAUUACUCCAUUUUCAGAUGCCAACUGGAUCAUUCCAACAGCUAAAAUGAACAGCCGAAGUGGAUCAUCUUGUCUCGGCCCCCCUUCAAUUUCUGAACCAUUUUCCUGAUCUCCAUCAACAAGGACUCAGGAUUUAGCAUGGCAAAUGUUUGCUUUAAUCCAUUCCAUACCUUUAGGGUUAAACUCUCAAAUUGAAGAAGGUCAAAGAGGAAGUCCCAACUGGCGCAAUCAAAUGCCUUACAGUAAUUAAUCCCAAGUAAAGAAGCUAUCGUCUUUUUUCAGGCCAGGCCUAAGAGCUCAUCUAGUGCGUAGUUGCGAAACGGUGCAGUGCAUGCCUUCCAUAAAUGUGGACAGAUUGGGCUUGAUCAACUAUCUGCGGUAGAAUGCUCUUUCAAUCUGUCUCCGGGCACUCCCAUAGUUAUUUUGAAGAUGCUAUUUGACAAAUUGAUGGGCCAAACUCUUCAGAGAAAGAAGCACCAUCCCCUUAGUUAUCAGCACGAUACAAGCACAAUUCCAAAUUUGUGCUUACACCGAACAAUUCUUCUUUUUUAUAGUGCCGUGGA